rnacentral:rRNA from 1 species
GCGUGCCUAAUACAUGCAAGUCGAACGCUUCUUUUUCACCGGAGCUUGCUCCACCGGAAAAAGAGGAGUGGCGAACGGGUGAGUAACACGUGGGUAACCUGCCCAUCAGAAGGGGAUAACACUUGGAAACAGGUGCUAAUACCGUAUAACAAUCRAAACCGCAUGGUUUUGAUUUGAAAGGCGCUUUCGGGUGUCGCUGAUGGAUGGACCCGCGGUGCAUUAGCUAGUUGGUGAGGUAACGGCUCACCAAGGCCACGAUGCAUAGCCGACCUGAGAGGGUGAUCGGCCACAUUGGGACUGAGACACGGCCCAAACUCCUACGGGAGGCAGCAGUAGGGAAUCUUCGGCAAUGGACGAAAGUCUGACCGAGCAACGCCGCGUGAGUGAAGAAGGUUUUCGGAUCGUAAAACUCUGUUGUUAGAGAAGAACAAGGAUGAGAGUAACUGUUCAUCCCUUGACGGUAUCUAACCAGAAAGCCACGGCUAACUACGUGCCAGCAGCCGCGGUAAUACGUAGGUGGCAAGCGUUGUCCGGAUUUAUUGGGCGUAAAGCGAGCGCAGGCGGUUUCUUAAGUCUGAUGUGAAAGCCCCCGGCUCAACCGGGGAGGGUCAUUGGAAACUGGGAGACUUGAGUGCAGAAGAGGAGAGUGGAAUUCCAUGUGUAGCGGUGAAAUGCGUAGAUAUAUGGAGGAACACCAGUGGCGAAGGCGGCUCUCUGGUCUGUAACUGACGCUGAGGCUCGAAAGCGUGGGGAGCAAACAGGAUUAGAUACCCUGGUAGUCCACGCCGUA